CCAUUGGCAUUGAGUCUGUCAGCCUCCUGUAUUAACUGGUGUUUGCUCCAUUCUGUAUCAAGUGAGCCAAGUAUGAAACAAAACCCAAACCUUUCCCUGUGAGGAGACCUGCUGUCAGCCGCAGGUGGUUAGGGCUCCCGCUGCCAGUGCCUGGGCUCCCAGUGCCAACCCCAGCUGGUUGGGCUUCCCCUGCCAGCCUGGAAAGUGAGAGGGGGACCCCACUUCAUCCCCCACCCCAGGCCUGGGGAGGGUGAAGAACCCUAUAGGAUUAGAGGAAGGAGUCCCAUCCUCUGCUCAGGAAAUGCUGUAUAGCAUCCUCAUCAGGAGUCAGGACCUGUUGUUGCACCAACAGCAUCACUGGGGCAAUAUGGUUGAGGGUACCAAUUCAUGAGCCAGUCCUAGCAGCACUUGGUACAGGACCCAAGAGGGAGAAGA